rnacentral:rRNA from 1 species
UAUGGCGACCGGCGCACGGGUGAGUAACACGUAUCCAACCUGCCGAUGACUCGGGGAUAGCCUUUCGAAAGAAAGAUUAAUACCCGAUGGCAUAGUUCUUCCGCAUGGUGGAACUAUUAAAGAAUUUCGGUCAUCGAUGGGGAUGCGUUCCAUUAGGUUGUUGGCGGGGUAACGGCCCACCAAGCCUUCGAUGGAUAGGGGUUCUGAGAGGAAGGUCCCCCACAUUGGAACUGAGACACGGACCAGACUCCUACGGGAGGCAGCAUG